rnacentral:rRNA from 1 species
UGGGGAAUUUUGGACAAUGGGCGCAAGCCUGAUCCAGCCAUGCCGCGUGAGUGAAGAAGGCCUUCGGGUUGUAAAGCUCUUUCGGCGGGGACGAAACGGUCCGGGCUAACACCACGGACUAAUGACGGUACUCGCAGAAGAAGCACCGGCUAACUACGUGCCAGCAGCCGCGGUAAUACGUAGGGUGCAGGCGUUAAUCGGAAUUACUGGGCGUAAAGCGUGCGCAGGCGGCUCCUUAAGUCAGAUGUGAAAGCCCCGGGCUUAACCUGGGAACUGCGUUUGAAACUGGGGAGCUAGAGUGUGGAAGAGGGGGGUGGAAUUCCAGGUGUAGCAGUGAAAUGCGUAGAGAUCUGGAGGAACACCGAUGGCGAAGGCAGCCCCCUGGGCUAACACUGACGCUCAUGCACGAAAGCGUGGGGAGCAA